AGUAGACCGUUUUGUAAACCCUAAACAAACAUGGAUCUUAUGCCCACUAGGGUUUCGUCUCUUUUUCCCCAGCUACUAGUGCAAGUGUCGCUUCCCUUUAAGCUUUUCUGUGUUUGCCACUUGCUUUUAAAUUCCUCACACUUGCCAUGUGAAAUCAAAAGGAGACAAGAGAGCUGACACAGUUUGGUAUUUCAAGAAGCAAACCCAAAUUCUGCCCACUAUUUUUCAUUUCUUAAAUAGUUUUUUUCUGGUCCAUGUUUUUGUCAUUUUCUACAUUUAUAAACAUAUGCUUUUUCUUGCUCACUUCUAACGUAUUCUGUCAUUUUUGCAAGCCACAUCUUUUAGGACCCCACCUCCACUUGCAACUUUCUGCUAGUGUGUCUUAUUCUUUGGUAAUAUUAUUUUCCAUCAAUAUAGUUUUGUAGGUGUUUUUCUUUUUUCUUUUUUCCCCAUUUCCCCCCUCACCAGACCUCUUUUUUUUUUUUUGGUUGUGUGGUAAUAUAUGAAGCAUUGCUCGUGUAUAAAACAUGUUUGUUGGUAGAUGUAACUUAGUUUAGUUGGUUAUAACGGAUAUACUAUUUACUCAAUAUCGGAGUUCGAAUUCCCCUCCUUACAUGGUUUAUAUCUAUUUAUAACAUUGUAAUAAAAUUGAACUCUUUUUCAUUUCCAAAUGUUUUGGGGUGUUGAACCUGCUGCAUGUUUAUGGGUUGGGUUUGAUUGAUAUACAAGAAAAAGAAACAGGGUUUGGUAAGCCAUCACGUGUUGUGUGCAUGUAUCUCUAGAAGAACACAUGACUCUCCACAGUUGCACAUAAUACAAUGAAUCAGUUAUGAGUUUCUCCAAUUUCUUGAACACGAAGGCAAUGGCGCAUCUCUCUUGGAAGCAUUUGACUUUAUAAUAAUUUGGCUCUAAUAGUAUGAGGGGUGCUAAAAAUACUGCUUUCUUUCUGAGGUCUUUGUUACAGCACGUGGACUCGGUCACUCAAAUAUUAAAAAGUGAUUAUACAAAUGAAAAUAAAAAGCUAUCAAGAAUAUAAUGGCGAUUUUAGCUAUAUUUAAGGAAGGUGUGUAGAUCAGCAGUCUCAAGUUCGAACCUCCAUGUAAUUUAGUGCGUGUGAGAAAUCUUCUUCCCUUUGUAGUUUAGACUAUCGUUGAUAUUAAUAAAAAAAUUCAAUUUCAAUAUACAUGUAAUCUAUUUAUAUAUAUAUUCACAUGUUAAGUCUAGCAGCAAUGUUGGCAUACAUGCAUAGUUCUAGCAUAUUUAUGUAAUUGCCCUUUCGAAAUUUCAUGAUCAAUAGACUGUAGAAUAGAAAGAAAAGUCCAUUUUUUAAGUCUUUGAAAAAAAAAAAAAAAAAGACGAUAAAGUCAUGAUUAACAAGAUAGUUACCUACCCAUCAACUUCCAAGUCUACAAUUCUAUUCGUGUUAUCAAUUCAUCCUCAACAAUCAGCCUAACGUUUUCUUCCAUUCAAUAAAAUGGAAGCAAUUAAAUAAGUGAUGACAUUCAUAAGACUUUAUUUUUAGAUCCGUAAGUGAGCGAAAUCGUUACUUUUUAAUUCAUAAUUUACUACGACUCUCUUUCUUUUUAAUAAUUUAACACUUUUUUUCCAUUUUCAGUGUCAAUUGCAAAGCUCUCAUCAUUGCCCCCCAAAAAGAGAGAGGCUUUCUUUAGUCUCAAGGUAAGAAAUUGAAGGCAGUUGGUGAAGGAGAUUCUGUUGUAACUUGUAAGGCUUGUCCAAUCAUAUAUUUCAAUUCAUGCAUAUAAAUUUCCUCCAAUAAUGGGCAUGCAAUGCAACCACGACAUGGAAAAAAACAAAUAUAGGUUGUAUGGGGCAAUACAUAUAUGGCGCAACACGAUUGGGGCAAUCAAAAAAUUUCAAGGGACAAAUUAUUUUGCUUUGAGUUUUCUUCUUGCCAUUGUCUAAACAAUUGAUCUGUAGUGAAUUUAUUGGAUCAUUCGUAAAGUGGCUAAACCCUUGCAUUGCAUGCAUAAAUCAGGUGACAUCACUCUUAUGGGUAUAUAUAUAUAUAAAGUUUCAUUUGAAGAACUCAUUGUCGGCUUACUGUAUAUUGUAUUUCAAUUAUCCGAAACGUACGAGUUAUGAAUUAUCUUUAUGGCUGAAAAGACAAUUACAUUUUGUUUAGUUCGUUAUAUCCAAGUUGCGUUUGGAUAAACCUAUUGAUAAUAUCGAACUUACUUUUGGGUGGUUACUAGACAAAAGAGGUAGAGAGCCAAUAGGGGUACGAAGAAAAAUGAACAAGGACGUAAUAUUGUAGAAAAAAGAAAGCAAAAGAUAAGAUUUAUGAAGCUAAUCUUCUUCUUCUUUUGUGUGUGUUAGGAAAUUGAUGAAGCUAAUCUUAAUUAAUUAAUAAAUAAAUACAGCAAAAUUUCUCGAGUCAGGACCACUACUUCAAGUGAACCUAACUCCAAUAGAGUUUUCAUUAUGAAUACAAAACUCCAAACUAGUAUACAUCAAGGGGGGCAUGCAUGUGAGGCCUAACGUGUCAUCUUAGGUUUGGGUCUCAUGCAAAGUUUCAGUCAAUUAUUAUAUGCAAACCCUACCACACACACCACAAGUAGAAAAACCCUAAUUUCUGGAUUGCUUUAUUUAUUUUUCCUUAAAAAAACUGGUUUUCACUUUCAGGUACAACUUCAAGCUUUGCUUUCAGAGGAGUUACUUUGAUUGGAUAUUUCGGAGAGGGUAGGUUCUUGUUACUUUUGGGUGUUGUUGGCUAGUUGCUGCUGUGGGGUGUGGAUAAGGUUCUGAGCUUCAAUGCAUGCCAUCAAAAGUAAGAGAAUAUGCAUCUAGAAUCUACAUCAAACCAAAAGCAUCUGGCAAUCUACUCUUUGUUUUUAUCGACGUUUCCAUCCGCUUCAUCUUUUUCUUUUUCUUUCUUUGACCUCUUUUCAGAGAUUUAAGUUUCGGAUAUUAUGUUUUAGGCUACGAUUUGCAUAAUAGACUAAUCCUUGGCCGGGUGUGGGCAUGGACCCCGAGGGCGACGGUUUAGGGCCCUAUACCAAAGGGGCCUAUGUUAUAUAUAAUUAUUGAAGUUCAUGUUGAAAGUGAUUUUGGGAGAGUUCAAAAUUAAUGGCCCGAAUCAAAAUCACUUCAAAUCUUGAACAAAUAUGCAAUUAAUCAGUUUGAUGGUUUGUUUUUUUUUUUUUGGUUGAACUAUAUGACAGUUUGCAUUUGUUAUUUUAUUUCAAUUCACCAACUAUAUUUAUCCUCAAAGUAAAAUACAUGUGUAGAAUCUUUUUUUCUUUUUGGUUAAACUAUGAUUACAUACAAAGGUAAAUUAUGGGCCUCAUUUUAAUUUUUGGUCAUGGGCCACUCAAAAGUCAAGGUCGGCAUUGUAGUACGGUCACGUGGUAUAUCUUAUAUACGUGUUCUUGACAGUCCCAAUAUAAUGUUUGUCACAAACAUGAGACGAUUACAACGAGAUUAGAUAAAAUUGAAAGAGAUAUCAAAUUUGAAUCAUAUCGCUCCAAUUUAUAUUAAAAAGUAGACAUUGAUAAAGUGAUCGAGUGACUUGAUGAGGAAGAACGAGGCGAGAAAGUUUUCUCAUUACCCGAAAGUAGAUAAUGAACUUUCCCAAAUCUUUUCGACCAAAAAAAAAAAAGAAAAGAACUUUCCCAAAUCUAGCCCAACUCUACAGAUCUUCUGUGUCUGGUAAUCAAAGCCCAAAUAUGGCCCAAGAAAAGUAAAAAUAUAUGGUCAUAAGGUAAAGCAGCAGUGUGCCACUUACACACCCAAUCUUUUUGAAAGGCCCAAUCCUACAAAAACUAUUCUUCACCAAAAAUAG
rnacentral:lncRNA from 1 species